UCAGAACGAACGCUGGCGGCGCGUCUUAAGCAUGCAAGUCGAACGGCAAGAGGUAGCAAUACCUCCUAGAGUGGCGGACUGGUGAGUAACACGUGGGUGACAUACCCUUCAGAUGGGGAUAGCUAUUAGAAAUAGUAGAUAAUACCGAAUACGAGCACAGGGGUUAGAGAUCUGUGAGGAAAGGAGCUAAGGCUCCGCUGAAGGAAUGGCCUGCGGCCCAUUAGCUAGUUGGUGAGGUAAGAGCCCACCAAGGCGAUGAUGGGUAUCCGGCCUUAGAGGGUGAACGGACACAUUGGGACUGAGAUACGGCCCAGACUCCUACGGGAGGCAGCAGCUAAGAAUAUUCCGCAAUGGACGAAAGUCUGACGGAGCGACGCCGCGUGGAUGAAGAAGGCCGGAAGGUUGUAAAAUCCUUUUGAAACUGAAGAAUAAGCGUUGUAGGGAAUGACAGCGUGGUGACAGUAGGUUUUGAAUAAGCAACGGCUAAUUACGUGCCAGCAGCCGC
rnacentral:rRNA from 1 species